CAGUAGCCGCGGUAAUACGAAGGGUGCAAGCGUUAAUCGGAAUUACUGGGCGUAAAGCGUGCGUAGGCGGUUUGUUAAGUCAGAUGUGAAAUCCCCGAGCUUAACUUGGGAACUGCAUUUGAAACUGGCAAGCUAGAGUCUUGUAGGGGGGGGUAGAAUUCCAGGUGUAGCGGUGAAAUGCGUAGAGAUCUGGAGGAAUACCGGUGGCGAAGGCGGCCCCCUGGACAAAGACUGACGCUCAGGUGCGAAAGCGUGGGGAGCAAACAGGAUUAGAUACCCGCGUAGUCCCUGUCUCUUACAC
rnacentral:rRNA from 1 species